GGGUUAUUGAAAUAUUCAUAUUUUUAUGUUAAUUAUGAGACUUUUUGCAUCAUUUCAACAUUUCUGCACAGCAGCAACAAUUCUUAUUUUAAAACAAACAAAUUAAAGAGUCUUCUUCUUGAAAAUGUUUAUAUUCUCUUACAGUUGUGACACGUUAUUUUAGUAUUUUUUUUUCUCUAGCAAAUCAUCACAGUACAAAACAUGUUUCAGAUCCUGCAGUCAUGAAACAGAUUUUGGUGGAAUAAUCACAGAAACACACAGCAGAGGACACAAACACCUGGCUGUCGUCAUAGCAACGCCUCAGCAUCCAUCAUCAGUCCGAGUCCAUCAAGUCCUGCAGGAAUGACAACAAGCAGCUCGCUGGGAUUCCAGUUUCUUCCUCUGAAAUGAAUUCAGGUCACAGAUUCACAUCUGAAACCUGAAGCUGAGCUGAACUCUGAACUCUUCACCACUCACAGCUGUUAUUAGCUCAUUUUAGCUUCUCCACUCAGACAUUUUUUAACCUUCAAGUAACUCCUAAAUUUCAGUCAUUUCUAAUGCCUCAGUCCUUGUAGCUCUUCUAUACAAAACAAACUAAAGGAAGCUGUGCUGUGAGGCAGAUUACAUCGCCGUGGAAACAGCUGAUACUCAAGCAAAUUUAUUAGAAAUGUGGUUGUUUUAUUAGGAAAACAGUUUUAUUUGUAAAGCUGCAGGGUCAGAGUCUGGUUUUGGAUUUUCAAGAAGUUUAAAAGUUUAAAUUGUAUUAUUUCCAGGAAAUUGACAGAUAAUACUGCUGAGAGAUCCCAGCGAGGAGGGGAAGUUUUAUUCUCUGAACAAAUCGAUCAGCUGUUCACUCACAGUGUCAAUAUAAUGUGAAUCAGUGUUUCCUCAAAUGUCUUGUUUUGACCAAAGAUAUUCAGUUUACUGUCAUAGAGGAGGAAAGAAAUCAGAAGAUAUUCACAUUUAAGAAGCUGCAAUCACAGAAUUUACAAUGUCUUUAUAUAUAAAAAAUAGUCUAACUGAUUAUAGUCUGUAGAAAAAGCAGCUGGCAAUUAAUUUUACUGAGUUUCUGACUAAUGAUUGAACAAAAGAAGUGGAGAAGACAUCUCCUUUAGCUUUACAGCACUGUGAUGGACAUUUACAUCAUCUGGUGCUAUUUUAGAGACAAAACAAUGAAUAUAUUCAAAUAAAUAAUCAGCAGAUCAGCAUCACGGGUGAAAAUAGGUGUCAGUUGUUGUGCUAAAAAAGGUAAAAUGUAUAGAUGUAAUAGUAGUGUAAAAAUAUCCAUUUAAUGAAUUGGAGAAUAGUUUAAUUGAUGAUAAGUAAUCGAUUACUUGUUGCAGCCCUACCAGUAAUGAAGAACAACAU
ensembl:lncRNA